rnacentral:rRNA from 1 species
AUGAACGCUGGCGGCGUGCUUAACACAUGCAAGUCGCACGAUGAAGCCCAGCUUGCUGGGUGGAUUAGUGGCGAACGGGUGAGUAACACGUGAGUAACCUGCCCUUAACUCUGGGAUAAGCCUGGGAAACUGGGUCUAAUACCGGAUAGGAGCGUCCACCGCAUGGUGGGUGUUGGAAAGAUUUAUCGGUUUUGGAUGGACUCGCGGCCUAUCAGCUUGUUGGUGAGGUAAUGGCUCACCAAGGCGACGACGGGUAGCCGGCCUGAGAGGGUGACCGGCCACACUGGGACUGAGACACGGCCCAGACUCCUACGGGAGGCAGCAGUGGGGAAUAUUGCACAAUGGGCGCAAGCCUGAUGCAGCGACGCCGCGUGAGGGAUGACGGCCUUCGGGUUGUAAACCUCUUUCAGUAGGGAAGAAGCGAAAGUGACGGUACCUGCAGAAGAAGCACCGGCUAACUACGUG